GAUGAACGCUGGCGGCGUGCCUAAUACAUGCAAGUCGAGCGAACAGACGAGGAGCUUGCUCCUCUGACGUUAGCGGCGGACGGGUGAGUAACACGUGGAUAACCUACCUAUAAGACUGGGAUAACUUCGGGAAACCGGAGCUAAUACCGGAUAAUAUAUUGAACCGCAUGGUUCAAUAGUGAAAGACGGUUUUGCUGUCACUUAUAGAUGGAUCCGCGCCGCAUUAGCUAGUUGGUAAGGUAACGGCUUACCAAGGCAACGAUGCGUAGCCGACCUGAGAGGGGGAUCGGCCACACGGGAACUGGGACAGGGUCCAGACGCCUACGGGAGGCAGCAGUAGGGAAUCUUACGCAAUGGGCGAAAGCCUGACGGAGCAACGCCGCGUGAGUGAUAAAGGUCUUCGGAUCGUAAAACUCUGUUAUGAGGGAAGAACAAAUGUGUAAGUAACUAUGCACGUCUUGACGGUACCGAAUAAGAAAGCCACGGCUAACUACGUG
rnacentral:rRNA from 1 species